GGAUGAACGCUAGCGACAGGCUUAACACAUGCAAGUCGAGGGGCAGCACGGGAGUAGCAAUACAACUGGUGGCGACCGGCGCACGGGUGAGUAACGCGUAUGCAACCUACCUAUCAGAGGGGAAUAACCCGGCGAAAGUCGGACUAAUACCGCAUAAAACAGGGGCACCGCAUGGUGAUAUUUGUUAAAGAAAUUCGCUGAUAGAUGGGCAUGCGUUCCAUUAGGUAGUUGGUGAGGUAACGGCUCACCAAGCCGACGAUGGAUAGGGGAACUGAGAGGUUGGUCCCCCACACUGGUACUGAGACACGGACCAGACUCCUACGGGAGGCAGCAGUGAGGAAUAUUGGUCAAUGGGCGAGAGCCUGAACCAGCCAAGUCGCGUGAAGGAAGAAGGAUCUAUGGUUCGUAAACUUCUUUUGCAGGGGAAUAAAGUGCAGGACGUGUCCUGUUUUGUAUGUACCCUGAGAAUAAGGAUCGGCUAACUCCGUGCCAGCAGCCGCGGUAAUACGGAGGAUCCGAGCGUUAUCCGGAUUUAUUGGGUUUAAAGGGUGCGUAGGUGGUUUGAUAAGUCAGCGGUGAAAGUUUGCAGCUUAACUGUAAAAAUGCCGUUGAAACUGUCGGACUUGAGUGUAAAUGAGGUAGGCGGAAUGCGUGGUGUAGCGGUGAAAUGCAUAGAUAUCACGCAGAACUCCGAUUGCGAAGGCAGCUUACUAAGCUACAACUGACACUGAAGCACGAAAGCGUGGGGAUCAAACAGGAUUAGAUACCCUGGUAGUCCACGCAGUAAACGAUGAUUACUAGCUGUUUGCGAUACACAGUAAGCGGCACAGCGAAAGCGUUAAGUAAUCCACCUGGGGAGUACGCCGGCAACGGUGAAACUCAAAGGAACUGACGGGGACCCGCACAAGCGGUGGAUGAUGUGGUUUAAUUCGAUGCAACGCGAAAAACCUUACCCACCUUUGACAUGUACGGAACUUGCCAGAGAUGGCUUGGUGCUCGAAAGAGAACCGUAACACAGGUGCUGCACGGCUGUCGUCAGCUCGUGUCGUGAGAUGUUGGGUUAAGUCCCGCAACGAGCGCAACCCUUGCCAUUAGUUGCUACGAAAGGGCACUCUAAUGGGACUGCCGGUGACAAACCGGAGGAAGGUGGGGAUGACGUCAAGUCCUCAUGGCCCUUAUAGGUGGGGCUACACACGUCAUACAAUGGCUGGUACAGAGGGUUGCCAACCCGCGAGGGGGAGCCAAUCCCAUAAAGCCAGUCGUAGUCCGGAUCGCAGUCUGCAACUCGACUGCGUGAAGUCGGAAUCGCUAGUAAUCGCGGAUCAGAAUGUCGCGGUGAAUACGUUCCCGGGUCU
rnacentral:rRNA from 1 species